UGCAGUCGCACGAGAAAGUGGAGCAAUCCAUGAGUACAGUGGCGUACGGGUGAGUAACACGUGGGUAAUCUACCUCUGAGUGGGGAAUAACCCUGGGAAACCGGGGCUAAUACCGCAUAUUCUCGAGAGAGGAAAGCAGCAAUGCGCUGAGAGAGGAGCCCGCGGCCGAUUAGCUAGUUGGCAGGGUAAAAGCCUACCAAGGCAUAGAUCGGUAGCCGGCCUGAGAGGGCACACGGCCACACUGGCACUGAAACACGGGCCAGACUCCUACGGGAGGCAGCAGUGGGGAAUCUUGCACAAUGGGGGAAACCCUGAUGCAGCGACGCCGCGUGAGCGAUGAAGCCCCUCGGGGUGUAAAGCUCUUUCGGCAGGGAAGAUGAUGACGGUACCUGCAGAAGCAGCUGCGGCUAACUACGUGCCAGCAGCCGCGGUAAUACGUAGGCAGCGAGCGUUGUUCGGAGUUACUGGGCGUAAAGGGUGUGUAGGCGGUUGUUUAAGUUUGGUGUGAAAUCUCCCGGCUCAACUGGGAGGGUGCGCCGAAUACUGAAUGACUUCGAGUGCGGGAGAGGAGAGUGGAAUUCCUGGUGUAGCGGUGAAAUGCGUAGAUAUCAGGAGGAACACCGGCGGUGUAGACGGCUCUCUGGACCGUAACUGACGCUGAAACACGAAAGCGUGGGUAGCAAACAGGAUUAGAUACCCUGGUAGUCCACGCCCUAAACGAUGCAUAUUUGGUGUGGGUCAUUCAGUUGAUCCGUGCCGGAGCUAACGCGUUAAAUAUGCCGCCUGGGGAGUACAGUCGCAAGGCUGAAACUCAAAGGAAUUGACGGGGGCCCGCACAAGCGGUGGACAUGUGGUUCAUUCGACGCACGCGAAGAACCUUACCUGGGCUCGAACGGCCGGUUACCGGCGGUGGAAACAUCGCUA
rnacentral:rRNA from 1 species